rnacentral:rRNA from 1 species
CGGGGUGCAGCAGGCGCGAAACCUUUACAAUGCACGAAAGUGUGAUAGGGGGAUACUCAGUGCUUACGCUUAUGGUGUAGGCUUUUGUCGAUCGUAAAUAGAUCGGCGAAUAAGUGGUGGGUAAGACCGGUGCCAGCCGCCGCGGUAACCCCGGCGCCACAAGUGGUUAUCACGAUUAUUGGGCCUAAAGCGUUCGUAGCCGGUUUGGUGCAUCUCUUGUGAAAUUGUUCGGCUUAACCGGACAGCGUGCAGGAGACACGGCCAAGCUCGAGACCGGGAGGGGUUAGAAGUAUUCCAUGGGGACUGGUAAAAUGGGAUAAUCCAUGGAAGACUACCGAUGGCGAAGGCAUCUAACCAGAACGGAUCUGACGGUGAGGAACGAAAGCCAGGGGAGCGAACCGGAUUAGAUACCCGAGUAGUCCUGGCCGUAAACGCUGUGUGCUAGGUGCCGCGUAUCUCACGAAGAUGCGCGGUGUCGAAACGAAGGUGCUAAGCACACCGCCUGGGAAGUACGGUCGCAAGACUGAAGCUUUAAGGAAUUGGCGGGGGAGCAC